rnacentral:rRNA from 1 species
UACGGGGGGGAGCAAGCGUUGUUCGGAUUUACUGGGCGUAAAGGGCGCGUAGGCGGCGCAACAAGUCACUUGUGAAAUCUCCGGGCUUAACUCGGAAAGGUCAAGUGAUACUGUUGUGCUAGAGUGCGGAAGGGGCAACUGGAAUUCUCGGUGUAGCGGUGAAAUCGUAGAUAUCGAGAGGAACACCUGCGGCGAAGGCGGGUUGCUGGGCCGACACUGACGCUGAUGCG